GAUGAACGCUGGCGGCGUGCUUAACACAUGCAAGUCGAACGGAAAGGCCCAAUCUUGCUUGGGUCCUCGAGUGGCGAACGGGUGAGUAACACGUGGGUGAUCUGCCCUUCACUUCGGGAUAAGCCUGGGAAACUGGGUCUAAUACUGGAUAGGACCACUUCUUGGAUGGUGUGGGUGAAAGUUUUUUCGGUGUUGGAUGAGCUCGCGGCCUAUCAGCUUGUGUUGGGGGUAAUGGCCUACCAAGGCGUCGUCGGGUAUCCGGCCCGGGAGGGUGUACGGCCCCAUUGGGAAUGGGAUACGGGCCCGACCCCUACGGGAAGGAGGAGUGGGGGAUAUUGCAAAAUGGGGCGAAGCCUGAUGCCGCCAAGGCGCGUGGGGGAUGAAGGCCUUCGGGUUGUAAACUCCUUUCGCUAGGGAAGAAGCGUUUUGUGACGGUAACUGGAGAAGAAGCACCGGCUAACUACGUG
rnacentral:rRNA from 1 species